rnacentral:rRNA from 1 species
AGAGUUUGAUCCUGGCUCAGGAUGAACGCUAGCGACAGGCUUAACACAUGCAAGUCGAGGGGCAGCACAGGUAGCAAUACCGGGUGGCGACCGGCGCACGGGUGAGUAACGCGUAUGCAACUUACCUAUCAGAGGGGGAUAACCCGGCGAAAGUCGGACUAAUACCGCAUGAAGCAGGGGCCCCGCAUGGGGAUAUUUGCUAAAGAUUCAUCGCUGAUAGAUAGGCAUGCGUUCCAUUAGGCAGUUGGCGGGGUAACGGCCCACCAAACCGACGAUGGAUAGGGGUUCUGAGAGGAAGGUCCCCCACAUUGGUACUGAGACACGGACCAAACUCCUACGGGAGGCAGCAGUGAGGAAUAUUGGUCAAUGGCCGAGAGGCUGAACCAGCCAAGUCGCGUGAGGGAUGAAGGUUCUAUGGAUCGUAAACCUCUUUUAUAAGGGAAUAAAGUGCGGGACGUGUCCUAUUUUGUAUGUACCUUAUGAAUAAGGAUCGGCUAACUCCGUGCCAGCAGCCGCGGUAAUACGGAGGAUCCGAGCGUUAUCCGGAUUUAUUGGGUUUAAAGGGUGCGUAGGCGGCCUUUUAAGUCAGCGGUGAAAGUCUGUGGCUCAACCAUAGAAUUGCCGUUGAAACUGGGGGGCUUGAGUAUGUUUGAGGCAGGCGGAAUGCGUGGUGUAGCGGUGAAAUGCAUAGAUAUCACGCAGAACCCCGAUUGCGAAGGCAGCCUGCCAAGCCAUGACUGACGCUGAUGCACGAAAGCGUGGGGAUCAAACAGGAUUAGAUACCCUGGUAGUCCACGCAGUAAACGAUGAUCACUAGCUGUUUGCGAUACACUGUAAGCGGCACAGCGAAAGCGUUAAGUGAUCCACCUGGGGAGUACGCCGGCAACGGUGAAACUCAAAGGAAUUGACGGGGGCCC